rnacentral:rRNA from 1 species
UACAGAGGUCUCAAGCGUUGUUCGGAUUCAUUGGGCGUAAAGGGUGCGUAGGUGGCGCGCUAAGUCAGGUGUGAAAUCUCGGAGCUUAACUCCGAAACUGCAUUCGAUACUGCCGUGCUUGAGGACUGGAGAGGAGACUGGAAUUUACGGUGUAGCGGUGAAAUGCGUAGAUAUCGUAAGGAAGACCAGUGGCGAAGGCGGGUCUCUGGACAGUUCCUGACGCUGAGGCACGAAGGUCAGGGGAGCAAACGGGG